rnacentral:tRNA from 3 species
GAAAAGUUAGCUAUUGGUAAAGCGAGUUACUUGCUAUGUAAUGAAUUAUUAAUUCUUAUGAGUUCGAUUCUCAUACUUUUCG